AGAGUUUGAUCAUGGCUCAGGACGAACGCUGGCGGCGUGCUUAACACAUGCAAGUCGAACGAUGACGGUGGUGCUUGCACCACCUGAUUAGUGGCGAACGGGUGAGUAACACGUGAGUAACCUGCCCUUCACUUCGGGAUAACCUCGGGAAAUCGUGGCUAAUACCGGAUAUGAGCUCCUUCCGCAUGGCGGGGGCUGGAAAGAUUUAUCGGUGAAGGAUGGACUCGCGGCCUAUCAGUUUGUUGGUGAGGUAAUGGCUCACCAAGGCGAUGACGGGUAGCCGGCCUGAGAGGGCGACCGGCCACACUGGGACUGAGACACGGCCCAGACUCCUACGGGAGGCAGCAGUGGGGAAUAUUGCACAAUGGGCGAAAGCCUGAUGCAGCGACGCCGCGUGGGGGAUGACGGCCUUCGGGUUGUAAACCCCUUUCAGUAGGGAAGAAGCGAAAGUGACGGUACCUGCAGAAGAAGCGCCGGCUAACUACGUGCCAGCCGCCGCGGUAAUAC
rnacentral:rRNA from 1 species